GACGAACGCUGGCGGCGUGCUUAACACAUGCAAGUCGAACGAAGUGGCGAACGGGUGAGUAACGCGUAAUCAACCUGCCCUUCAGAGGGGGACAACAGUUGGAAACGACUGCUAAUACCGCAUACUGAAGGAGGGGAUUGCGUCUGAUUAGCUAGUUGGAGGGGUAACGGCCCACCGAGGCGAUGAGCAGUAGCCGGUCUGAGAGGGUGAACGGCCACAUUGGGACUGAGACACGGCCCAGACUCCUAAGAGAGGAAGCAGUGGGGAAUCUUCCGCAAUGGACGAAAGUCUGACGGAGCAACGCAGCGUGAGUGAUGACGGCCUUCGGGUUGUAGAGCUCUGUUAAUCGGGACGCGGUACCGGAAUAGAAAGCCACGGCUAACUACGUGCCAGCAGCCGCGGUAAUUC
rnacentral:rRNA from 1 species